rnacentral:rRNA from 1 species
GACGAACGCUGGCGGCGUGCCUAAUACAUGCAAGUCGAACGCUUCUUUCCUCCCCAUUCCUUUCUCUCAAUUGCAACGAACAGUUGCGUACGGGUUGGUAACCCUUCCUUAACCUACCCAUCAACUUGGGAUAACACUUGGUAACAGGUGCUAAUACCUCAUACCAGUUUAUGCCGCAUGGCAUAAGAUUUAAAUGCCCUUUCUGGUUUCACUGGUGGUUGGACCCGCGGUGCAUUAGCUAGUUGGUAAGGUAACGGCUCACCAAGGCAACGAUGCAUAGCCGACCUGAGAGGGUGAUCGGCCAAACUGGAACUGAGACACGGCCCAGACUCCUACGGGAGGCAGCAGUAGGGAAUCUUCGGCAAUGGACGAAAGCCUGACCGAGCAACGCCGCGUGAGUGAAGAAGGUCUUCGGAUCGUAAAACUCUGUUGUUAGAGAAGAACAAGGACGUUAGUAACUGAACGUCCCCUGACGGUAUCUAACCAGAAAGCCACGGCUAACUACGUG